CCUACGGGUGGCAGCAGUGAGGAAUAUUGGUCAAUGGCCGCAAGUCUGAACCAGCCAAGUAGCGUGAGGGAAGACGGCCCUAUGGGUUGUAAACUUCUUUUAUGCGGGGAUAAAGGGGUCCACGUGUGGAUGUUUGCAGGUACCGCAUGAAUAAGGACCGGCUAAUUCCGUGCCAGCAGCCGCGGUAAUACGGAAGGUCCGGGCGUUAUCCGGAUUUAUUGGGUUUAAAGGGAGCGUAGGCCGGCCUUUAAGCGUGUUGUGAAAUGCAGUGGCUCAACCAUGGUACUGCAGCGCGAACUGGAGGGCUUGAGUGCGCGGGAGGUAGGCGGAAUUCGUGGUGUAGCGGUGAAAUGCUUAGAUAUCACGAAGAACCCCGAUUGCGAAGGCAGCCUGCCGUAGCGUUACUGACGCUGAGGCUCGAAAGCGCGGGUAUCGAACAGGAUUAGAUACCCGAGUAGUC
rnacentral:rRNA from 1 species